rnacentral:rRNA from 1 species
GAUGAACGCUGGCGGCGUGCCUAAUACAUGCAAGUCGAACGGACAAUCAGCAAUGGUUGUUAGUGGCGAACGGGUGAGUAACGCGUUGGUGACCUGCCCCGAAGCGGGGGAUAACAGCUCGAAAGGGCUGCUAAUACCCCAUGAGCUGUGGUGGAUUAGAAGCAUCACAGGAAAGGGGAAAGUCGUUUCGGGAGGGGCCUGCGUCCCAUCAGCUAGUUGGUGAGGUAAUGGCCCACCAAGGCUGCGACGGGUAGGGGACCUGAGAGGGUGGCCCCCCACAAUGGAACUGAAACACGGUCCAUACACCUACGGGUGGCAGCAGUAGGGAAUAUUGCAAAAUGGGCGAAAGCCUGAUGCAGCAACGCCGCGUGCGCGAUGAAGGCCUUCGGGUCGUAAAGCGCUUUUUGAGGGGAUGAGGAAGGACAGUACCCUCAGAAUAAGUCUCGGCUAACUACGUGCCAGCAGCCGCAGUAACAC